rnacentral:piRNA from 1 species
CGCCUGAGUAUUCAUGUGUACAUAUAUGGC